CCCUAUUCUGUUAUACUGUUGCUAGAGUUUAGGACGCUAUUCUUGUUGUAUUGAGUUUUCUCAAUUUUCAUUCUUUAUAGAGUAUUUUAGAGUAUAAUUAUAACAUAUGAUAUGGAUAUAAUGGAGAUUACGAACAGUUAACGAAAGUUUUAGCAAACUUUCUUUUUUUCAAGAGGGGGAGUGUGAUGUGAAGUCAGUCACGUUAUGA